AUUAAUUUUAAAAUAUGUCAUAUGAAUUUUCAUAUAAAAUACGUAUAUGUACUUCAUUAAUUUUAUGUAAAUUCAAAUAUCUAUUUAUGUUUGUCGAACAUUGAUAUCAAGUACCAAGUAAUAUAAUGCCUCUUUCUAUUUUAGAACUUAAAUUGAUACGUUGCCUCCAAGUUCAUUAAUUAGGUGUCUUUUGUACCAUUGCCACUUCUCAGCUCUUGGCUCUAUAUAAUUCAAAUGACAUUCUUCUUCUCCUUUUUUUUUCAGUGGUAGCAUAUCACUUAUUUCGUCUAAGAAAGAUGACAUGAACUCAAGUUUGGAAAAUACUUAGAUAUCAUGCUUUCUCAAUUUCAGGAUUUGAAGUAAAGAUGCAAAUGAGUUGAUUAUGCAUCGAAUGAUGAAGAUGUUAUUCAAUAAUUGAAGAAAUUCAGAAGCAUAUUUUCAAGGAAGACAUGGGGAUGGUUUACAGGGUUCAUAAUUACUUCUCUUACUACAGGACGCUUACCUAGCCAACUUAUCUGUAUAUGACUUUUUUUUCUAGGUGCUCAUUUUGUCUGGGCUUUUAAUUUACUAUUUCUAUUCAGCGGACGUGGUUAUUGACAAGAAAAUUUUGAACUUCAGGAGACUUAUUUUGAAAUUAAAGAAAACUUAACUAGGAACUCUAAUUGACGGAGUCUUAUUCGUUGGUACGUCGAUGAUCCCUCUUCUGGCCCCAUAUUUUGUAACAAUGCUUAAGCCUCUUGGCAGCGGCUAAGUAUUCCACAGCUUGAAGCGGUUUAAGUAUGUUCAGUACAAUUUCCUUCAAUGUUUUCAUCCUCAACUCAUCAGCGUCUCUUAAUACAUCAGCCAUAUAUCGGCUAUGUUCAUCUAAAACAUCAUCUGCAUUCUCACAAUCAUUCUCCAUUUUACCAGCGAAAGGCUGAUCCACAGCGUCCUCUUGCAAGCUAGCCAAUUUUGAAGAAAGAAACUCAGUGAGAUGAGACUCGAUGUCCAUGCCACAUAGCGCGUACGCGAACCGUAUGAGAGAAGAUGGUCUACAGCCAGCGAUCCAUAGGAUUGAAUUCUCCAACGAGGUGCAUGAAGUUGGCGCCAAGAGUGGUGAUACGUCGAUACGGGCUAGACGGCUACGGUUGUUAGCAUAAUCUUGAAAAUUUUCUACGGUUUUUUCGAUUAGUUGAGUGAGUUCAUUUUCAUUUUUUAGGCCGUUUUUGGCUUGAACUGCAGCUUGUUCAAGCUCUAUUACUUCUUUACGUUGCAAAAUCAUCCAUGUCUCGUAUACGCAUUCUUGCUCCGUUGGACUAUCACUAGAAGUACUACUGGCCAUUUUAUGUUACCUAGUUGGAUUUAUUCAUAUGUAAAUACAUAUAUACAAGCUAAAUUAUAUAUAGUCCUA